CCAAUAGCGUAUAUUAACGUUGCUGCAGUUAAAAAGCUCGUAGUUGAAUUUCGGGACCAAUAUGUCGGUCGUGCCUCGGUACGUACUGGCAUCGUUGGUUUCUCCCUUCUGAAGAACCAUGAUGUCAUUCAUUUGGUGUCGUGGGGAAUCAGGACUGUUACUUUGAAAAAAUUAGAGUGUUUAAAGCAGGCUCACGCUUGAAUACAUUAGCAUGGAAUAAUGAAAUAGGACGUUUGAUUCUAUUUUGUUGGUUUCUAGGAUCGACGUAAUGAUUAAUAGGGAUAGUUGGGGGCAUUAGUAUUCAAUUGUCAGAGGUGAAAUUCUUGGAUUUAUUGAAGACUAACUACUGCGAAAGCAUUUGCCAAGGAUGUUUUCAUUAAUCAAGAACGAAAGUUAGGGGAUCGAAGACGAUCAGAUACCGUCGUAGUCUUAACCAUAAACUAUGCCGACUAGGGAUCGGAUGAUGUUAAUUUUUUAAUGACUCAUUCGGCGCCUUACG
rnacentral:rRNA from 1 species